rnacentral:tRNA from 1 species
GUGGUGGUGGCUCAAUGGUUAGGAGCACUGGCUGUUCUUCCAAAGGACCUAGGUUCAAUUCCCAGCAACCACA